CCGGCCGCCGGCGCUUGACGCGCUCGGAGCCGCGGAGGCCGCGACCCCGGCCUCUUGGAACCCGAGAGCGGCUAGCAAGACGAGCCGGGUCAGGUCCCCGGGGGAGGCCGGGCGCCACCCGACCCGCAGGAACGCGGGUGGCCGUAAGGGAGGGACCGGGGAUGCGGGCACAUCCUUCUGUUGCCGCUCUGCCUCUGCAACCCCUGGCGUGGCGCCGGCCGGUCCCAUUCAUCCUCCCCACGAACCUCCAAAGCGGUGCUGCCAUGAGCCACGUUCACAAACGAAAUCCUCCAGCCUCACGGACGAUAUGAACUUGCCCAAGCCGCCUCGGCUGGGAAGGUGGAGUGAAGGGAUUUGAAUACAGGACUUUUCUUCUUCUUGUUUUACUUUAUUUCGCUCGGCUCCCGAUUCCUAGGGCGCCAAGGAAGGUAAUUCGCGCCGCUUCGCGCCGGCUGCCGUGAUGCUUCCCGGAGCAGUCCUGGGUGCGCCUUCUGGGGAGCGCUGGGGCGGAGGCAUCGGCUGCGCUGAGUGAUGCAGGUGCUGAAGGAACAGCAAAGAAAUGGAAAGACAAGGUCUCUGUCCUAGUAACAGAUGAUGCUGGAAGGAGGAAGCAAGGCUGGAAUUUGGACUUGGGAUUUUAUCUGAAGAGCAAUAUAAAAUACUUAAAGGUUUUGGACAGUUUUUCCAGUCUCCAGCACCAGCUGGCCCCUGCAUGUAAGGAGGUUACUAACUCAAGCAACACUGCUGGUGGACCCAUCAUUUGGCCCAGAUCGUAGAAGGAUUCUCAACUAACUCUGUUCAGUACCAUCUUGUUUGGAGGGAGACAUGUUCCUCAUCAUGCCCACAUCCUCACACAGACUGUAGAGGUCUCAAUGAAUUUCUCUCAGAAUCUCCAGACUGCCUUGGCUGAUGACUUGUUCCUCUUGGGACAGAUUUCACUCAAGCUGAGCAGCCUGGCCCCCAGCUGUGCGGGGCCCUCUCUCCGACGGUGGUGCUGCAUUUGCCUGGUGGUGGAGGAAACAUUUCCAGCUGGCGUCUGCUGGCUCCUUCAUCAAAGCUGCUUCUGAACCUCUCAUACUGCUCCUCCCAACAUGCAAAGCCUUUGGGUGGUUAGGAGUUUUCUCCACCAAAUUGUUGGAGUCCUGAUGACAGUACUUCAAGACAGAAGCUGACUCACCCAGGUACACAAGGUCACGAUGGACAGCUCCAGUCUCCAUGGGCUAACUUUUAUUUUCAACUCCUCUAAUUAUUUUGUGUGUGUUUUAAGAGAAUUAGAAACAAUCAUAGCCACUUAUAUUAAGUGUUUACCAUGUGCCAGAUGCUUUAUAUGUAUUACUCUAUGUAAUUCUUGGCCCGAGACAGGCACCGUGCUGUUUCCUGGGUUAACUGAGGCUCUGAGAGGCUGUGCAGCUUGUGAGAGGAUACAGGACUAGAAAGUCAAAGAGUCAGCAUUUGAACUCAGUUCUAUUUAAUUCACUAAUGGGUUCCUUCAAUCAGUAUUCUGGACUGGCUCCAGGGGCCAAAGAUAGGUUUAUUUCUGCAACAGGGAAAAAUUGGUAAGAAAUCCCAUGCUGAGCUAAACCUUUACCUAGUAUAACUCAAUGGUCUGCCUCUGGUGUUGACCAGCAGAAACAUUAGACAGGCAAGGUUAGGAUAUCAUAUUAAAAAAGUUGAGCACCUCCCUAAGUAUCUCCUAAUCUCUCAUUGAUAUAUGCUAACUCCAUUAAUAUUUUCAGUCUAUAUCAAUCUUUUGGAUACUAGUUUCUAUGUUUAUUAUUUUCUACAUUUACUAUAUUUUUGGGUACUCAAUUACUUUUAAGUUUCAAGGGACACUCUCAUACUCUGUUAUUCCUAGAUUUAUUGGCUGAUAGAAAUCAAGACCAAAAGGAAAAAAAUCUCAACAGGCUGAAAUGACAGAAUGAAAAUGAGUGAGAACAAAUGACAAGUCAUGAACUGAGGUUCAGUUACUCAGCUAACUGACUGCAGAGGGAUGGGGAACAAAGAUGGACGUUGUUACUUCAUGGUUAGCCGUGGAUAAGGUGAUCUUAGGUUGCCUGAAUAGAAACACAGAGUCUAGGACAAAGCAGAGGACAGCUCUAGUUUAGUCUACACUGUAUAUAUAUUAAGUCAUAUUCUAGCCACACAGCUUUAAUAGUGACAAAGGCAUUUGGGUGUUAAAUUAAGAAAAAAAAGUGAGAAAACCACAUUUCAUAAAGAGAUCUGAGGUGUGUAUUGAGGGAAAAGUGGAAGAGGGCAGGAUUAAGUGUCUUGAAACAUUUGAAGCCAGGGAACAGCUUCAGAGGGAAAAACUGGAACCAAGUGGAAAGAAAUUUCAAGGGGCUGAUUUUGGUUCAGUAUAUGGGAUAAUUUUUCUAUCCAAACUUCCAAAACAGAAUGU